rnacentral:rRNA from 1 species
GUAAUUGAUGAGUUGCUGGAUGAACUGCAUGGAGCUCAAUGGUUCAUAAAACUUGAUCUUAGGGCUGGAUAUCAUCAAAUCAGACUAGCUCCUGGUGAAGAAUAUAAGACUGCAUUUAAAACACAUCAUGGUCACUUUGAAUUCAAAGUGGUGGGCUAUGGUCUUACUGGUGCACCUAACACAUUUCAGGGAGCCAUGAAUGUUACAUUAUCUCAGGAACCAGAAAUGUUGAGAUUUUUUGUGUUAGUAUUCUUUGAUGAUAUUCUUAUAUUCAGUAAAACUCUGAAACAACAUCUUCAACAUGUCAGAAGAGUGCUACAAGUAUUAAGGAGAGAUCAGUGGUAUGUCAAAAUGUCCAAGUGUGAGUUUGCAUCU